CGUUCUCGCUUGCAGUGCUUAUGUUUUCUUCCUAUCCCCUUUCCCGGUUUGCGUUCUCCUCUCUUAAGAUAAAUUUUAAUAUUUUCGCUGAUUGCGCCGGUCGUUCACUAGUUGUAGCGCUGUUGCUGCUUUAGUUGGUCUGCGCUGCUAAGGCUAUCGCUGUUGUUGGGGCCAUAUUAGGGCUGAGCUGCUGAUGCUAGAGCUGUGGUAGGGCUGAGUUGCUAAAGCUAUCGCUGAGGCUGCUUAGACAAGCGCUGAUGGGGCCAGCGCUGCCAUGGCCUGCUUCCAGCUGCUGAAGAUGGGCGGACGUAGAUUGCGCGUUGGUAAAAAGGUUAAUGUCGUGUUGAGUAAUUAGUAUACCAAGACCAAAAGGGGUCACCGUGACGGCCGCGGGCAUCACUUACAGCAUUUAAGAGAAUUUCAGCAAUAGCAUAAAGAGUGAUCCCAGCGCCAGUACAAGGGGAAGCAUCCAAGAGAGAGAGAGAGCGCCGAAAACGAACAUAGCAAGAGGGAAAUACCGGGAUGCGUCGCCGCUACACUAAAGCAGCAACGACCAGAAGCCGCCGAAAGAGAGCCAAAGAUGACGGAAAUAUGAGUAAGAUCUCUCCCACACCCACGCAACCAAGGCAAGCAACGACAAGAGAGCGAGCCGAUCGCCCGGCAGAGCCCGAACUGAGGCUAGGAUCCCGAGAAAUGGUUGAAGCGUGCCAGCUCGAGCCGGGCUCAUUAAUUGAAAACUGAGCGCUCACCGGGCAAGACGUGUGCACGGAAAACGGCCACAGUUAGUGAAAUAACAGAAUAAAACUUGAUAGACAGAAACGCACCUAUUUGUUUGCACAACUUUCUCGGGAUAUUUUAACAGAAACGCGGCGAUUUGAUUGCACAAUCUACGGGAUAUAUUUACAGACCUUUCCCAAAACUAAUUCGCGUCCCUCUUCUGAAGUACCUUCCUAAUUGGGGGAAACUAGCAGAGUGGCACUGUCCUCGGACCAGCAUUGUAUCCACGAGCUGGAUUCAUUCCAUUUAUUGCUGGCAGACAAGCUCGAGAAGUGGGGACUCACUUUCAAUGGUCACACGGACCCUCCGUAGUAUUGACGGACAAGGCAGAAAUAUGGUUGAGGACUGCUCACAUGCGGGGCCAGAACUGGACAGAUUUCCGAACAGAUUUUCUGGAGUUUUUCCUGCCGCCUCGGUACAUCCAAUGCUUGAUGAAAGAGCUAACCUCUAACAAAUUCCUGGUGUUUGAUCGCCGCCCCAUAAAUCCGUGCUGAGUUGGAGAUAUAAGUGACUUGCAGAGAUUUCGCAAGUGCGGAGUUAUAUAUAAUUGCGCUCUAUAAUUAUUUGC